rnacentral:rRNA from 1 species
GACAGAGGGGGCUAGCGUUGUUCGGAAUGAUUGGGCGUAAAGGGUGCGUAGGCGGAUCUUUAAGUAAGGUGUGAAAUCCCCAGACUUAAUCUGGGAACUGCACUUUAAACUGAAGGUCUAGAGGACCAAAGAGAGAGACGGAAUUUCUGGUGGAGAGGUGAAAUUUGUUGAUAUCAGAAGGAACACCAACGGCGAAGGCAGUCUCUUGGGUGGUUACUGACGUUGAGGCACGAAAGCGUGGGGAGCAAACAGG